rnacentral:sRNA from 1 species
GGGACACGGGCUCAUUGCGGUGUGCGCCCUGCACUCUGUCCCUCACUCGCCGCCGACGACCUGUCUCGCCGCGCGCACGCCUUGCCGCCGCCCCGCAGAAAUGCUUCGGUUACCCACAGUCUUUCGCCAGAUGAGACCGGUGUCCAGGGUACUGGCUCCUCAUCUCACUCGGGCUUAUGCCAAAGAUGUAAAAUUUGGUGCAGAUGCCCGAGCCUUAAUGCUUCAAGGUGUAGACCUUUUAGCCGAUGCUGUGGCCGUUACAAUGGGGCCAAAGGGAAGAACAGUGAUUAUUGAGCAGAGUUGGGGAAGUCCCAAAGUAACAAAAGAUGGUGUGACUGUUGCAAAGUCAAUUGACUUAAAAGAUAAAUACAAAAACAUUGGAGCUAAACUUGUUCAAGAUGUUGCCAAUAACACAAAUGAAGAAGCUGGGGAUGGCACUACCACUGCUACUGUACUGGCACGCUCUAUAGCCAAGGAAGGCUUCGAGAAGAUUAGCAAAGGUGCUAAUCCAGUGGAAAUCAGGAGAGGUGUGAUGUUAGCUGUUGAUGCUGUAAUUGCUGAACUUAAAAAGCAGUCUAAACCUGUGACCACCCCUGAAGAAAUUGCACAGGUAAGGACUUAACAUGUUACACGUUUUUUAAAAAAAAUUUAAUGGCAUGUGUGAUUUUUUUUUUCCUUGAUCACACCAAUGUCAGAAUAACAAUACUACCCAAUCAUCAAUAUUAGAAUCAUUGUUUCUUACUGCUAAAACCUUUGAAAAGAAUUAUGACCAUAAUGGUUGUCAUUUAGUUCUACAUGUGGUUGUCAUUUUAGUUCUACAUGGCUGUAAAAUGGAUUCGUAUGAUUGUGAAA